AAAAAGUAGAUGAAACAACACAGCAACAUUUUAGAACAUAAUAAGAAAUGCAUGUAACACCACCACAAAUAACACAUGACAGAGUUAGAAGACCACAAAUUAAAAAUUAAUUUCUUGUUAGCAUUUGCACAUCUCUUCUUUCAUGUAAAUCAUCACGUCUGUCAACUUCACCAGUUUAAGGUAAUAGGACAUUCAAGUUUCACUACUAGAAGGACCUGAUGCCAAAAGAGGAACAUUUGCAGUGCUAUUACCAAUAACUUCAUCCCAAAGCAAACCCAUAAAAAAUUAAGACAAGUUUAAUAACUUCGUCCCAAAGCAAACCCAUAAAAACUUAAAACAAGUUUUCACUAAGGUGCUUGAUAUUGCCUACAAAGGUACCAUGGGAUUAUCAAGCAGACCUCAUAACAUUUCAGAUCGGCCUAGCGAGAAAAUACAACAUAUGUCCAUCUAGGUUUAAGAUCAAGCCUGAGGAAGAGAUAGAUAAUCAAUAUAACAGAGAUAGAUAAUCCUAUUUCAUUAUUUAUGCCUCAAACUUGUAAGGUCAAGACAAACAAUGACUCGUCAAAUCUAAAUAAAUACUCCUCUGAAACAAGUGUAAUGUUGCACUCCUCUCUUCAGUGGAACAGUUAAACCAGAACAUAUUUUUGGCCGUCAUACAGAAUUAAGGCAGCAGUAAGCAAACAUAAAAAGGGAGGCACAAUCACACUUUUCAGCAAUUUGCACAUCAAGCAAUUUGUUAUCUAUUAAUUAAUAUGUUAUCUCAUAUGGGAAUAGAAAUUUAAACAUCAAGCAAUCAGUGUUUAAUGCAUUCAGCUUUUACCUCCUACUUUGAGAAGGCAAAUAUUUGAUACAAGUUUAAAUGGUAGUUACAAAUCAGA
rnacentral:misc_RNA from 1 species